rnacentral:rRNA from 1 species
AUUGAACGCUGGCGGCAGGCCUAACACAUGCAAGUCGAGCGGAUGAGGGGAGCUUGCUCCUGGAUUCAGCGGCGGACGGGUGAGUAAUGCCUAGGAAUCUGCCUGGUAGUGGGGGAUAACGUCCGGAAACGGGCGCUAAUACCGCAUACGUCCUGAGGGAGAAAGUGGGGGAUCUUCGGACCUCACGCUAUCAGAUGAGCCUAGGUCGGAUUAGCUAGUUGGUGGGGUAAAGGCCUACCAAGGCGACGAUCCGUAACUGGUCUGAGAGGAUGAUCAGUCCCACUGGAACUGAGACACGGUCCAGACUCCUACGGGAGGCAGCAGUGGGGAAUAUUGGACAAUGGGCGAAAGCCUGAUCCAGCCAUGCCGCGUGUGUGAAGAAGGUCUUCGGAUUGUAAAGCACUUUAAGUUGGGAGGAAGGGCAGUAAGUUAAUACCUUGCUGUUUUGACGUUACCAACAGAAUAAGCACCGGCUAACUUCGUG